rnacentral:lncRNA from 1 species
AUGCCGGCACACGGCCCUUGUGUGCGAUGCCGGCACACGGCCCUUGUGUGCGAUGCCGGCACACGGCCCUGCCCCGCCGCACGCCGCUCCCGCAGCCCCGCACCGCGGUGCGGCACAGGACGCAGCGCAGCCCCCCGGGGCUCCCAGCGGUCGGGGCGGGCACAGCUCCACGGAACGAGGCCCCCCGGCCCGCACGCACAGACAGACACACAGACGCACACGUGCGGUCGGACGCUCUCCGCACGCGGACUCUGCGGAACCCCGCGCCCCCGCGGAAAGGCCGUCCGCAGCCGUACGGACGGGCGCCUCGCGGUACCGCCGCUCACCCCUACGGGAGCCCCGAAGCCCCCGCCGACUCGAACCGCCCGUCGCCCGCGGCCCUGCCCGGCCCGGCCCGCUCUCACCUGCCGCGCCACCUCGGCCGCCGCCAUCGCUGCCCGCCCGCCACAGGGCCCGCCCCGCCCGGCCGGGCGGCUCCGGACGCGCCCACCGCGCCGCCUCACGGGGGUGGAACCGCCUCGUCGCCCCGCGCCGCUGGCCCCGCCCGUGCCGCGACCCCGCGCCGCGACCCCGCGCCGCUUUCGCGCUCGGUACCGCCGGUCCCGGCGCCGCCGUCGCGCUGCGGAAGGCGCGGGGUUGCGGUUCCCCCCCGCGGCAGCCGGCGGUGGUGCGGGCCGGGCGGAGGGCGGGGCCGGGCGGAGGGCGGCGGCGCCGCGGUUGGGCGCCGUGGGGAACGGCGUUAGGGCGAGGGAAGGCGGGGCUGCCGGCGCUUCCUGUAGCGCUGUGAGAGCGAGGGCGGUGCCGGAGGACGGGGACGAGGAGCGGAAUGAGUCCCACGGCUCAGGAGGAAACGCACUCAGCAGCAGGAUGGGCUUUGCCACAGACACAUCCAGCACAUUGCAUCAUUGCUGCCUGCUGAGCAGAGGUGAUGGCUGACCACAGGCCUGCCCUGGAGAAGGGGACGGUGCAGCCCACGUGGGUUCAGUGCUAAGUCAGAGCCUCCUGCAGUUCCCUGCA